GUGCUCACUUUGGCAGCACACAUACUAAAAUUGGAAUGAUACAGAGAAGAUUAGUAUGGCCCUGUGCAAGGAUGACAUGCAAAUUUGUGAAGCAUUCCAUAUUUUU
rnacentral:snRNA from 2 species